rnacentral:rRNA from 1 species
UACAGAGGUGGCAAGCGUUGUUCGGAAUUACUGGGCGUAAAGGGCGCGUAGGCGGUCUUCUAAGUCUUGUGUGAAAUCCCUCGGCUCAACUGAGGAACUGCACGGGAUACUGGAAGACUUGAGUUCGGGAGAGGGAAGCGGAAUUCCGGGUGUAGCGGUGAAAUGCGUAGAUAUCUGGAGGAAUACCGGUGGCGAAGGCGGCAUCCUGGACCGAUAUUGACACUGAUGAGCGAAAGCUAGGGGAGCAAACGGG